rnacentral:rRNA from 1 species
CAGUAGCCACGGUAAUACGAAGGGUGCAAGCGUUAAUCGGAAUUACUGGGCGUAAAGCGUGCGCAGGCGGUUUGUUAAGUCUGCUGUGAAAUCCCCGGGCUCAACCUGGGAAUGGCAGUGGAUACUGGCAAGCUAGAGUGUGUCAGAGGAUGGUGGAAUUCCCGGUGUAGCGGUGAAAUGCGUAGAGAUCGGGAGGAACAUCAGUGGCGAAGGCGGCCAUCUGGGACAACACUGACGCUGAGGCACGAAAGCGUGGGGAGCAAACAGGAUUAGAUACCCGUGUAGUCCCUGUCUCUUAUAC